rnacentral:rRNA from 1 species
UACGGGGGAGCAAGCGUUGUUCGGAUUUACUGGGCGUAAAGGGCGCGUAGGCGGCCUCUGCAAGUCGACUGUGAAAUCUCCGGGCUUAACCCGGAAAGGUCAGCCGAUACUGCAGGGCUAGAGUGCAGAAGGGGCAACUGGAAUUCUCGGUGUAGCGGUGAAAUGCGUAGAUAUCGUCAAGAACACCGAUAGCGAAGGCAGCUUCUGGGCUGUAACUGACGCUGAUGCACGAAAGUGUGGGAUCAAACAGG